rnacentral:rRNA from 1 species
CCUACGGGUGGCAGCAGUGGGGGAUAUUGCACAAUGGGGGGAACCCUGAUGCAGCGACGCCGCGUGGGUGAAGAAGCGCCUCGGCGCGUAAAGCCCUGUCAGCAGGGAAGAAAAUGACGGUACCUGCAGAAGAAGCCCCGGCUAACUACGUGCCAGCAGCCGCGGUAGUACGUAGGGGGCAAGCGUUAUCCGGAUUUACUGGGUGUAAAGGGGGCGCAGACGGCGAUGCAAGCCAGGAGUGAAAGCCCGGGGCCCAACCCCGGGACUGCUCUUGGAACUGCGUGGCUGGAGUGCAGGAGGGGCAGGCGGAAUUCCUGGUGUAGCGGUGAAAGGCGUAAAUAUCAGGAGGAACACCGGUGGCGAAGGCGGCCUGCUGGACUGCAACUGACGUUGAGGCCCGAAAGCGUGGGGAGCAAACAGGAUUAGAUACCCUUGUAGUC